CUUUUGUUCCUGCAUGUCGACCUGAACAAAUGAGCCGUACCCUGAAUGGAGUGAUUUCCUGUGGAUGUUAUUUUGAUGUUAUUGAAACUUCUUGGACACAUCAGAGGAACUUAUAAAACUUCAUGAACACUUUUAGGUUUUUGGGAACAAGACCACAGAAGUAAGCACAUUCUCACCACAUGCUAUGAAGAGAGCAUAUCAACAUGAGUCACUGUGAUGCUGAUUUGAUGACCUGAGAACUUACUCAAAUCUCUUGCUGUCUCUGUGCUUCUGUUUGUCUCCUUGAGGAAGAAGGAUCCUAAUGCCCACCUACACGUGCUGCAUGGGAAAGUAUAAUGGUAAAUAAUGAC